GACUGGAAAUGGUGGAGUCAGGAUCCACCCCUUCCCAGACCUCAUUUAAGUGUUGGCAGUGGAGGUACAGGUUUCUUGCUGAAGGUCCCUACUUACUUGAGGCUUUGUGAGGAGAGAUAGUGCAACUCUGUGUUGAUGUUUCUUGUUUUGUACGGGGAAGAUUACUGGUGUGAUUAUUCCUUUUCCUGCUAUGUAAAGCAAGGCAGAUUGUAAAGCAGAUACCUCAAAGGUGGUCAUCUCUAGAGUGUCGAAGAAAAAUGUCAAGUGGGGUAAUCUUGUCCUGUCCCCCAGCACCCUGCUUAUUGAGCCUGGUUGGAAAGCCCCUGCAAGUCUGAAGUCAGAUUCAGAAGAAUCAAGGAAACAUAAGCUAUCCUAACGGCUAGAGUCACCGAGAUCAAAGACACUGGAUAAGGGAUUAAUAAAAAGAGGAAAGGAACUCCAACAGUGAACUUGCAUUAAUUAAAGGCAAAAGAGAUGUGGAUACAAUUUCCAGGUUGCUGUGUAUCUGCUGUUCCUAGCACUCACUGUAGGGACUUAAUCUUCAUCUACCUUGACUGCACAAUACAAGGGUUACU